rnacentral:rRNA from 1 species
GUGCCAGCCGCUGCGGUAAUACGAAGGGGGCUAGCGUUGCUCGGAAUGACUGGGCGUAAAGGGCGUGUAGGCGGUUUGUACAGUCAGAUGUGAAAUCCCCGGGCUUAACCUGGGAGCUGCAUUUGAGACGUGCAGACUAGAGUGUGAGAGAGGGUUGUGGAAUUCCCAGUGUAGAGGUGAAAUUCGUAGAUAUUGGAGACACGGUGGCGAAGCGGCAACCUGGCUCAUUACUGACGCUGAGGCGCGAAAGCGUGGGGAGCAAACAGGAUUAGAUACCCUGGUAGUCCACGCUGUAAACGAUGUGUGCUGGAUGUUGGGUAACUUAGUUAUUCAGUGUCGUAGCUAACGCGAUAAGCACACCGCCU